rnacentral:rRNA from 1 species
AGCUGGCGGAGCUACCAUGCAGUCGAACGGUAACAGGAAGCAGCUUGCUGCUUUGCUGACGAGUGGCGGACGGGUGAGUAAUGUCUGGGAAACUGCCUGAUGGAGGGGGAUAACUACUGGAAACGGUAGCUAAUACCGCAUAACGUCGCAAGACCAAAGAGGGGGACCUUCGGGCCUCUUGCCAUCGGAUGUGCCCAGAUGGGAUUAGCUAGUAGGUGGGGUAACGGCUCACCUAGGCGACGAUCCCUAGCUGGUCUGAGAGGAUGACCAGCCACACUGGAACUGAGACACGGUCCAGACUCCUACGGGAGGCAGCAGUGGGGAAUAUUGCACAAUGGGCGCAAGCCUGAUGCAGCCAUGCCGCGUGUAUGAAGAAGGCCUUCGGGUUGUAAAGUACUUUCAGCGGGGAGGACAAGGCGAUGAGGUUAAUAACCUUGUCGAUUGACGUUACCCGCAGAAGAAGCACCGGCUAACUCCGUGCCAGCAGCCGCGGUAAUACGGAGGGUGCAAGCGUUAAUCGGAAUUACUGGGCGUAAAGCGCACGCAGGCGGUCUGUCAAGUCGGAUGUGAAAUCCCCGGGCUCAACCUGGGAACUGCAUUCGAAACUGGCAGGCUAGAGUCUUGUAGAGGGGGGUAGAAUUCCAGGUGUAGCGGUGAAAUGCGUAGAGAUCUGGAGGAAUACCGGUGGCGAAGGCGGCCCCCUGGACAAAGACUGACGCUCAGGUGCGAAAGCGUGGGGAGCAAACAGGAUUAGAUACCCUGGUAGUCCACGCCGUAAACGAUGUCGACUUGGAGGUUGUGCCCUUGAGGCGUGGCUUCCGGAGCUAACGCGUUAAGUCGACCGCCUGGGGAGUACGGCCGCAAGGUUAAAACUCAAAUGAAUUGACGGGGGCCCGCACAAGCGGUGGAGCAUGUGGUUUAAUUCGAUGCAACGCGAAGAACCUUACCUACUCUUGACAUCCAGAGAACUUUCCAGAGAUGGAUUGGUGCCUUCGGGAACUCUGAGACAGGUGCUGCAUGGCUGUCGUCAGCUCGUGUUGUGAAAUGUUGGGUUAAGUCCCGCAACGAGCGCAACCCUUAUCCUUUGUUGCCAGCGGUUAGGCCGGGAAAUCAAAGGAGAAAACCAAAGAUAAAAGAUAGGAAGGGGGGGAGGACGUCAAGUCAUCAUGGCCCUUACGAGUAGGGCAACACAAAGGUAACAAUGGCGCAUACAAAGAGAAAUGACCUCGGGAAGCAAGCGGAAUCAAAGGAGUUGUGAAGUCCGAAAAUGAGUCUGCAACUGGACGACGAAAGUCGGAAAAGUUGAGAAUCGUGGAUCAUAAGGCCAAGAUGGAGGUAUUCCGAGGCUUUAUACACACCGCCCAUCACAGCCAUGGGAAUGAAAACAAAAGCAGGGCAAAGCUAACCAUUGUGAGGGCAGAUACCUGUUUUGUGACACGCUCCAGGACGAGGUCAACUCACAAUAGCACAGCGCC